rnacentral:tRNA from 1 species
GUAGCUCCAAUUGGCAGAGCAGCGGAUUCCAAAUCCGCGUGUUGGGAGUUCGAAUCUCUCCACCCCUGCCAUAUAUC